rnacentral:sRNA from 1 species
GUUCUCCUACAGCGUUGGUGACUGCCAAUAACGUUUUUUGAUCUAUGCUCGAACAAUAAGGGAACCAAGAUGCUUCAGUAGCAGUAGACCGGGCGAAAGUACCCGGAAACUUAAAACAGAAGCCAAGAGUACCCACCUGGUUAAACCAGGU